rnacentral:lncRNA from 1 species
CUCGGGAGCCUCCACCCAGGCGCAUGGCUCCAUGAAGCAAGAGGAGGAGGCAGAGCGCGAGAGAUCCCGUCCGCCCCAGCCGCGUCUGGGCCAGGAGAAAAGCAAAACCAUAUUCCUGCUGCUGUCAGUUUUGAUGCACUGAGAAAACUUCAGAGACCUAAGCUUUUUCCAGAGAAGAGAAGCUUUACUGGUGUUCCAGCCCUAAGGCUCAUAUGACAUUAACAGACAAGACACUUUUCAGAAAGACAGGCAACGUGUUGGACCUUCCGGAGCUUCUCAGAAGACAGAGGGUUUUCUUUUGAGGCUGUUGUACAGUGGCCUGAUUAUAGCUCACUGUAGCCUCGAAAUUCUGGGCCGAAAUGAUCCGCCUGCCUCAGCCUCCAAAGUAGCUGAGACUACAGGUAUGUGUCACCACACCCAGCUAAAUUUUAUAUAUUUUUUCUAGAGACAAGGGUAUGUAGCCCAGGUAUUUGACCCUCCAAAUCUGAUGUUGAAAUUGGAUACCCAGUGUUGGAGGUGGGGCCUAAUGGAAGGUAUUUGGCUCAUGGGGCAGAUCCCUCAUGAAUAGAUUAAUAUUCUCCCUGGGUUGCAGGUGAGUGAGUUUUUGGUCUCUUAGUUCCUGUGAGAGCUAGGUUUUAUGGGAUUUUUUUUUUUUUUUAGGCUGGUCUUGAACUCUUGGGCUGAAGAGAUUCUCCCACCUCAGCCUCCCAAGGUGUUGAGAUUACAAGCAUGAGCCACCUCACCUGGCCAAGAGCUAGUUGUUAAAAGAGCCUAGCACUACCCCCCUCUUUCUUGUUUCCUCUCUCACCAUGUGAUCUCCACACACAUUGGCUUGCCUUCCCUUUCUGACAUGAGCGGAAGCAGCCUGAGGCCCUCACCAGAUGUGGAUGCCAGUGCCAUGCUUCUUGUACAAUCUGCAGAAUCAUAAGCUAAAUACACCUCUUUUCUUUAUAAAUUACCCAGCCUUGGGUAUUCCUUUAUAGCAACACAAACGGAGAAAGACAUAUGCAAUUUGCCAUUUUAAUCAUUUUUAACUGUACAAUUUGGUGGUAUUAAUUAUAUUUACAAUGUUGUGCAACCGUUACCACCAUCUAUUACCAAAGCCCUUUCAUCACCCCAAAUAGAAACUGUGCUUAUUCAGCAAAAACUCCCAUUUUCCUCUCCUUCCAGCCCCUGGUAACCUCUGGUAACCUCUAAUCUACCUCCUGUCUCUAUGAAUUUGCCUAUUGUAAAUAUUUCACAUAAUGGUAUCAUACACUAUCCUUUUGUGUCUAGCUUAUUUAACUUAGCAUAAUGUUUUCAAGGUUCAUCCAUCUUAUAGCAUGUAUCAGUAUUCCAUUCUUCUUUUCUAUGGCUGAAUAAUAAUUGUAUGUAUAUACUGCAUCUUGUUUAUCCAUUUAUCUUUUUGUUUGUUUGUUUUUUAAAGACAGGGUUUUACCAUGUUGGCCAAGCUAGUCUCGAACUCCUGAACUCAGGUGAUCCGCCCACCUUGGCCUCACAAAGUACUGGGAUUACAGGCGUGAGCCAUCGUGCCUGGCCUAUCCGUUUAUCUUUUGAUAGACAUUUUGGUUGUUUCUACCUUUUGUCUAUUGUGAAUAAUGCUGCUAUGAACAUUAGUGUACAAGUCACUGUUUAAGUUGUUGUUUUCAAUUCUUUUGGGUAUUGUAUUAGGCCAUUCUUGCAUUGAUAUAAAGAAAUACCUGAGACUGGGUAAGUGCCAAAGAAAAAAGGGUUUAGUUGGCUCACAUUUCUGCAGUCUGUACAGGAAGCAUAGCAGCAUCUGCUUCCAGGGAGGCUUCAGGAAGCUUCCAAUCAUGAUGGAAGGCAAAGUGGGUGCAGGUAUGUCACGUGGCAAAAGCCAGAGCAAGAGAGGAAGUGGGGAGGUGCUGCACACUUUUAAACAAUCAAAUCUUGUGAGAACUCACAAUCUUGAUGACAGCUAGAGAUGGUGAAGCCACUCAUGAGAAACCACUCCCAUGAUCCAAUCACCUCCCACCAGGCCCCAACUCUAACACCGGAGAUUAAUUACAUUUCAACAUGAGAUUUGCAUAGGAACAAACAGUCAAACUAUAUCCGGUAUAUACUUAAGAGUAGAAUUACUGGGUGAUAAUUCUGUUUUACGUUUUGAGGAAUUGCCAAACUAUCUUCCUCAGCAGUUAAACCAUUUACAUUCCCACCAGCAGUAUACUAGGUUUCCAAUUUCUCCACAUGUUCAACAACACUAGUUAUUUUUUCUUCUAAUUAUAGCCAUUCUAGUAGGUACAAAGUGGUAUCUCAUUGUGGUUUUAGCAUCUUUUGAGUUGCUUAUUGACCAUUUACAUGUCUUUUUUUUAGAGAAGUGUCUAAGUAUUUUGUCCAUUAAAAAAUUGAGUUAUUUAUCUUUUAUUUGUUGAGUUGUAGGAUUCUUUAUGCAUUCAAUUCUUUUGGGUAUUGUAUUAGGCCAUUCUUGCAUUGCCAUAAAGAAAUGCCUGAGUAUAUUAGUUUUUUGUCAGAUGUAUGAUUUGCAAACAUUUUCUCCAAUUUUUUGUGUUAUCUUUUCACUUUCUUUAUAGUGUCACUUGAUACACAAUUUUGAUGAAGUCCAAUUUAUCAGUUGUUUCAUCACUUGUACUUUUGAUGUUAUAUUUAAGAAACCGUUGUCAAACCCAAGGUCAUGAAGAUUUUUCAGUAUGUUUUCCUCUAAGAGUUUUAUAGCAUUUAAUAUUUAAGUGUUUUAUAGCAUUAAAUUUUGGUCUUUGAUCCAUUUUCAGUUAAUGUUUGUACAUUGUGUAAAAGUAUAGGUCCAACUUCAUUCUUUUGCUUGUGGAUAUCUAGUUUCCCCAACACCAUUUGUUGAAGAGAUUGUCCUUUUCCCCAUUGAGUGAUCCUGGAACCCUUGCUGAAAAUUAAUUACCCAUAGAUGUGAGUGUUAGUUCUGGCCUCUCGAUUCUAUUCCAUUGGUCUAUAUUGUCUACCUCUGUGCCAAGUCCAUGCUAUUUCAAUUAUUAUAGCUAUGUAGUAAAUUUUAAUAUCAGAAAAUGUGAGUCCUACAACUUUGUUCCUCUUCAGAUUAUUUUGGCUAUUUUGGGUUCCUUGAAAUUUUAUAUGAAUUUUAGAAUAGGUUUUUCCAUUUCUGCCAAAAGCGCUGUUGGGAUUUUAUUAGCGUGAUUACAUUGACUCUACAUAUCAUUUUGAGUAGCGUUGUCAUUUUAACAAUAUUAAGUCUUCCAACUUAUGAACACAGGAUCUCUUUCCAUUUAUUUAAGUCUACUUUAAUUUCUUUCCAGAAUGCUUUGUAGUUUUCAGUGUACAAGUCUUCUGCCUUCCUGGUUAAAUUGAUUUCUAAAUAUUUUAUUCUUUUGGGUACUACUGUAAAUAAAAAAUUCUUAAUUUCCUUUUCAGAUUUUGUACUGCUAGUGUGUAGAAACACGACUGAUUUUUGUGUGUUGAUUUUGUAUUCUGCAGCCUUGCUAAAUUUGUUUAUUAGCUUUAAGAGGCUAUUUUUGGUAUUCUUUAGGGCUUUCUACACUUAUAUCACUUGCAAAUAGAGAUAGUUUUACUUCUUCCUUUCUAAUUUGGAUUUAUUUUAUUUCUUUUUCUUGCCUGAUGGGUCUGGCUAGAACUGCCAAUACUAUGUUGAAUAGAAGUGGCAAACACAGGCAUCCAUGGCUUCUGAUUUUAGUGGAAAAGCUUGAAAUUUUUCCCCAUUGAGAAUGAUGUCAGUCGUGAGUUUUUAAUACAUGGUCUUUAUCAUGUUGAGACAGUUCCUUUCUAUUCCUGGUUUGUUGAACAGUUCUAUCAUAAAGGAGGAAUGGAUUUUCUCAAAUGUUCUUCUAUAUCAAUUGAGAUGAUCAUGAGUUUUUCACUCCUUCAUUCUAUUACUUGGUGUAUUACAUCGACUGAUUUUCAUACGUUAAACCACUCUUAAAUUUCUGGGAUAAAUCUCAGUUGGUCAUAGUGUAAAAUUCUUUUAAGGGCUGCUGAAUUUAAUUUCCUAGUAUUUUGUUGGGGAUUUUUGUAUCUAUAAUGCAUUCAUAGGGGACAUUUGGCUAUAGUUUUCUUGUAUUGUCUGUCUAGCUUUGGUAUCAGGGUAAUGUUGGCUUCAUAGAAUGACUCAGAAAGGGUUCUGUUUCUCAACUUUUUGGAGGAGUUCGAGAAGGAUUAGUGUUAAUUCAUUUCUAAACGUUUGGUAGAAUUCACCAGCGAAGUCAUCAGUUCCUGGGCUUUUCUUUGUUAGGAGAGUUUUGGUUGCUGAUUCAAUCAGAAUUGAAUAUCAUUACUUUUUAUAGAUCUAUUCAGAUUUAUUCUUUGUUCUUGAGUCAACUUUGUUGGUUUGUAUGUUUCUAGGAAUUUGUCUGUUUCAUCUAGGUUAUCCAAUUUUUUGACAUAUAGCUCUUAUACGAAUUCUCUUACAAUCCUUUUUAUUCCUAUAAAUCAGUAGUAGUGUCUUUCAUUUCUGAUUUUAGUAGUUGAGUAUUCUUUUUCCUUAAUCUAGUUAAAGCUUUGUCAACUUUGUUGAUCUCUUCAAAGAACUAAUUUUUUGUUUCAUUGAUUCUAUUGUUUUUCUAUUCUCUAUUUCAUUUAUUUUUGCUCUAAUCCUUAUUAUUUCCUUCCUCUUUAUGGCUUCAAACUCAAUUGAACAUAAAGUAUUAAGAAAUUUGACUUUUUUUCUCAAAUGUCUAAAAUGUAAGAAGAAAUAUGUCUAGAGUCAUCAAAAAGCAGCCUGUUUGUCAGAUUUACUGUUUAAUCCAUGUAAACAGCUUUCAUAUAAUUCAUGAUAGAAUAUUACUAUGUGCUUUGGAAGACACUGAGGAAAGACAAAAGGUCAUUGGGCAGAACCACCCUAGAUUGACUGUUAAGGCCAUCUUCUAGUUUGCAGGACUUGUGGUAGACAGACAGAAUAAUAUCCUGGACCUCUUGGGUGUAUACAGGACAAACUGAAAUAAACUCUCAUUUUUAGAUCAUAAUGUCAUCAUGAAACAUAUCAAUUCGGUCUAUUUCUGAAGAAAACAAGCACAAUGAUAAAGUUUGAAUGUUUGUCUCCUCCAAAUCUCAUGCUGACAUUUGAUCCCCAAUGUUGGAGGUGGGGCGCACUGGGAGGUGUUUUGGUUACGGGGGCAGAUCCCUCAUGAAUGGCUUGGUGCUGUCUUCAUGGGAUUAUGUUCUCACUCCUACUUCCUGUGAGAUCUUAUUGUUAAAAAGAAUCUGAUACCUUCCUCCCCUCUCUUGCUCUCUUCCUCCCUGAUCAUGUGACACACGGGUUCCCCUUUGCCUUCCACCACGAUGGAGGCUUCCUGAGGCCCUCAACAGAAGCAGAUGCUGGUGCCAUGCUUCUCGUACAGCCUGCAGAAUUGUGUGAGCCAAAUAAACCUCUUUUCCUUAUAUAUUACCCAGCCUCAGGUAUUUGUUUAUAGCAAUAAAAACAGACUGAGACACAUGAUGAAGACCCUUUGAUAUCCUAUAAAUAUUGAUUUCUCUCCCUGAGAGAAGAGCAUGAAUCUAAGUGAUGCCAUUACUGUAAUGUGAAUUCCACAACUUUUCUCAAAGAUGUGGCCCAUAUGUUUCUAAUAAUGGCUUUCUAAGAAUCUGUUCUGAAGGGGUACCUUCUCUCUGAUUUUCAUUUGCAUUUCCUGCUUAGCUUACACACUUCAACUUGCCUAUCCACCUGUCCUGACCCCAAUAACCUCCAUCAUCAGACAUCUCAUCUUACCUACCUACUUUCUACUUUUCCCAGUCCUUCCCGUGCUUCAUAAACCAUGAUCAUGAGCUAGAGACACAAGGUCAUAGCUAAGGAGUUGGGAUCAGAAAAUCACCUUCUGUGAUUUUCCAUUAUUCUCAAUACGUAACUUCAACAAAAUCAAGAAAAUCAUGAAAGGACAUCCUAAGGGGUCAGGUGAGGUUGCAGUGGGGUUAGUCGGUCAAUAGUUUCUUUAUGCCAAUUAGGAUUUCUGCAGAAAACAAUGAAACACUGGUUUAAACAGUAAAAAUAUUUUAAUUCCUUACAGAAGCCCAUGGAACAUACACUCCAGGUUUAAUUCAUCAGCUCAAUAGCAUCAUCAACGACUUAGGUUCUUUCCACUUUCUGCUUGUCAUCUGUGUUGGCUUUAUUUUCAAGCUAGCUCCUCCCUGGUUGCAAGAUAAUUGCAGCAGGUUUAGUUAUCAUAUUCGGACAUGCUAACGCCCAGGCUAGUGAUCCCUUCCUUACAUUUCUUUCUCAUUUUAAGAACAAAGUGUUUAAAAAAUUAUACUUAAAAUUAUUGGCAUCUCUGUCAAUUGAAAGAUGUCAAUCUCUUUCAUUUUUCCUAAUCACUAAUAACAUCUACUAAAAACAAAAUGUCUGUGUAAAUAAUUUAUUUGAAUAAAAUUAAAGUUGUUGAGUGAGCUCGGCUUUUGAGGAGUGGGAAAGGAGGGGUGCAUAGAUUAGUGGAAGAUGAGAAGCUAGUGGGGCUCAAGUCCAGCAGGAGCAGGAGUUUGGAGCCAGGACUUCCUAGCCUCUCAGGGUUUUUUUUUAACUUCCUUACCUGAAAUGAUUUGUGCUAUAUAACUUGUCCUGGCUAAACUUUCUUAAUCUCAACUGUUUCAUUUAAUCAAUAACAACUACUGCGCCACCUUCAUAAUAUCAAUUUUCAGCAUUUCAUUUACUGAAUAUCAUUUCCUUUCCUUCCAGACUAUUCUACUGUGUCAAAUUCAAUAUUCCUUUGACUCAAUAGGAUCUCCAAUCCAGUGACCCCAUUAUUUGUUUGUUUAUUAGGACAAGAAAAACAAACUUUCCCAGAAACUCCCCAGUAGACUGCUCCUCAUAUCUCGUUGGCUAGAACUGAGUUGCGUGCCCAUUCCUAAAACAAAACUGGCAAGAAAGAUAGUUACCAAGAUUGGUUCAGACCAAAUCAGGAUUUUUUCCUGAGGAGAGGAUAAAGUGAGCUUCCCGGGAGGCAAAUAUUUACACAUUCCAAAGAUUCCAAAGAAAAAAAGAGAAUAAAUACUGGGUCGUUAACUAAUAGUAAGUGGUACGGUAUUACAGGUAAAAUUUAUCCUUUUAGCCCUAGCAACAAGUGACACCUUCUGAAGCCAUUAUUCAUUUGUCAGGAAUAGGGCAAGUAUCAGGAAAAGAAACACCGAAAUAAACUCUGUUUCCAUUUAUUGCAUUCUAGCACUGGUUCUACCAAAUAUUUGUUGGAUGACUUUAGGUAAAGCAUCUAGCCUCUCUGUCUUGAUUGCCACACCCACAAUAUGAGAUAAAUAUUAUUCUGCAUACUUCCUGGGAGAGCUGGGAAGAUAAAAUCAGAUCAUUAUACCACAUAAAGCAAAGCAAUAACACUUCCAUAUUUUAGCUUCCCACACUGCCUAUCUGUCCUAUUUUCAUUUAUUCAUUUAUACUUUUUAACAAACAGUUGCUAGUAGUUUGCUUAAUGUAAGAUAUGGGAUGAAUAUUUUCAUGAUGGCCCCUGCAUCUAAGUUAUCAUUUAGCAGUACCUGCCUUAUCUCUUGUACAGAAUCAGAUUAGACAGCAUAGGAAGAAUGAAAAGGUGAGGUGGGAUAAUAAGGAAUGUUGUUUGUGGAAACAUAAUGGUUGCUUCAAUUUGAGUGUAAACUGUCCUUUUUACUGAAGCAAUUGCAACCAAGUGUGUGAGUUCACAGGUGCCUACAUUGCUUUUUUGGCUUAGGUAUUGUUUGGGUUUUAAUACAGACAAAUCAACUCAAUCAAAGAAACCAACUCAAAGAAAGAUGGGUCUACAUACAACAAAACUGAACAAAAUCUGCAAGAAGAGUGAUUCAUACAUGGGCUAUUGAGGCAACAUGAGAUGGACAUUAAUCGACUAAGUAAAAAACAGAUUUCUUGAAGAAUUAAUAAAGAACUUUUGUUUUGGAAGUUCUCUAUUGUUUAAAAUUAGCCAGAUGUGGUGGCCUGCACCUACAGUCCCAGCUACUCAGGAGGCUGAGGUGGAAGGAUCACUUGAGCCCAAGAGGCGGAGGUUGCAGUGAGCUGAGACUGUGCCGCUGCACUACAGACAGCCUCCUGCAUGACAGAGCCAGACCCUGUCUCAAAAUUUGGGGGGGAGUAAAGUUCUCUAUUGUUUGAAAUAAUAACGAAACAUUAAAGGCUCUAAAGUCAGCUAACGAAUAGUCCUAAAAAUAGAAUGGCUCAAAAAGAUUGUCCAAUUUUGGAAAACUAACAUUUCAAAAAGUUGUUUCAUUUUUUAUGAAUCCUAAGAUUUCCAUAUCCUAGAAAACUAACAUCUCAGAA